rnacentral:rRNA from 1 species
AUUGAACGCUGGCGGUAUGCUUAACACAUGCAAGUCGAACGAGUAGCUACUUCGGUAGCGAGAGUGGCGGACGGGUGAGUAACGCGUAGGAAUCUGCCUGUUAGUGGGGGACAACGUGGGGAAACUCACGCUAAUACCGCAUACGCCCUACGGGGAAGGAGGGGAGUCUUCGGACCUUUCGCUAACAGAUGAGCCUGCGUUAGAUUAGCUAGUUGGUGGGGUAAAGGCCUACCAAGGCGACGAUCUAUAGCUGUUCUGAGAGGAAGAUCAGCCACACUGGGACUGAGACACGGCCCAGACUCCUACGGGAGGCAGCAGUGGGGGAAUAUUGGACAAUGGGCGCAAGCCUGAUCCAGCAAUACGCGUGUGUGAAGAAGGCCCUAGGGUUGUAAAGCACUUUCAAU